rnacentral:rRNA from 1 species
AUGUCGUCGGCAAAGAUAUGCAUUACCACCAUGAUUGUGCUAGUGUUGCUGCUUGAAGCCACCGUUGAUGCCGGCUUUAGGAUGGGGAGUGGUUUUUGUCAAAGCGACCAUGGCUUGGUGGAUUGCCAAACCUUGUCAACUAGCACAAGCAAGUAUGGCAACAAGCAAACAUGGCCGAUUGUGUGGCCAGUGUGGUUCGCAAAGUGCCCACAAGGAAAACGCUUCUGGUGCACCGAGAGAUGGUGUGCCUGUAUCUAG